rnacentral:tRNA from 1 species
UGCUCCGUAGCUCAGCAGGUAGAGCAUCCCCCUCAUAAGGGGCUGGCCGCGGGUUCGAGCCCCGCCGGAGCGACCA